GUAAAUCUCCCAAGGAUCACAACCCUUGACAGAAGAGUUUAUCUUUAACUUUGGUAUCCAGCACAAAGUCUCUGUUCCUUACGUGGCUCUGUUUUCUUUUCUUGAGGGACAUCCAGUGAUCAGGCACUAGAACCCCCCUGGGUGGCCCAUGCGCUCCAACUUUCCUGUUUCCUCUAUUCCUCUGCAACCACUGAGACCCACCCCCUUUUAAACAGUGGAGCCACCAGAAGGUGGCUUCCCUGAUUCCUGGGUCACUGAGCAAGGGGCAGCUGACCUGGAGGUUUGCUAGCUGUCUACUGCCUUGCAUGGAUGAAAACAACACCUGUGUAAAGAGUUUAUGUUGGUUUCCAUGGAGAUCUGGAGAGGUCUUUUUGUCUUGCUGGAUUGAAACGCUAUACUUUAGAUUAUAAUGCUGGCAAACAACCAUUCUACCUUCUGCCUUUGUGAACAAGGACACCUGUGUACUUCAUGUGUAUGCGGUCCAGAAGGUGACUUCUGAUCCCGUGGCAUUACAGGCUGUUAGGAGUCCCAUGUGGUUGCUGGGAGCCGAACCUGGGUCUUCCGAGGUCCCGGCACCUUCUGUAGUCAUGCACUUGGCGCCAUCCUCCUCUCGAGUCUUGCACACUGCUGGACCAGCACUUGAGCCGUGGAUGCAAAGAGGGUCUUCAGGAGAGGUUUAUGGAGAAGACAGACUGGGAAAGGCAAAGACUUCAAUCAAAGAGGAAUCAGUGGGAGUCUGGGCAGUCUUUCCUGAGAAGAUGUGAACACAUGUCUGCUUACCCUGCAUAGGGCACCAACGACAGACCAAAGAGACUGGACCCCACAGCUCUGAGUCUUGUUUGUGGCGACAAUUAUGGGAGUUGCUUUUCAGGCGGAUGGGUGCCUCUGGCACUGACUGCUUCAUGAAAAAGCCCACUGCAGUCUGGGUCAGAUGACUCAUCUAAGGGACAUUUCGAGCUCCCUAUGUUACUUGCAACUUUCUUGUGUGUUCUUAUACCUUUCUUAAGAAUUUCCUGAGGCUCCUUGUCUCCCUCACUCCACAAGCAGGGACUGGUCUGCAGCUGGUGGAGCACACCAGGGGGUUAGUUGUGCGUGGAUGCAGGGAUCUGGGCUGCAGGGUUGCUUGAGACCUGGCAACUGAAGGGGUGUAGAUACAGCUCUGUGGGUGGGUGAGCCUGCCCAGGGAUGGGCUGAAUGAGCCUAGGAGUUAGAAGGCUAGUGGCUAGCACUCAUGGGAGACAAGGAGGAGACCCUAAAAGACAGCCACUCCUUGGAGUGCACGGUUGUGGUGAGAGCAGCUGACUAGAAGGGAGUUUCUAAGAUUUGAUAACUGAUACUUUAACCAAACUUUAACCCCUUGUGUGGGCCAGGUUCUGAGCAACUAGAGAUGAACCAGAAGUCUCUUAGUGAGACAGAUGUGUGAAUUACAGUUAAGCAAAAUGUA